ACGUCCAACCAUGGAGCCACCUGGGCACCCACUAAGACCAUUUUUGAUGUUUCUCUCUCGGCUUGGGGCCUCCCGGUCGAGCAGCUGCUAUUAAGGCAUGUGGUCAGGCCGUGUCCCAGAUUUGUAGGAGACCGUGUGGUC
rnacentral:pre_miRNA from 1 species